rnacentral:misc_RNA from 1 species
GAUGAAGAACGCAGCGAAAUGCGAUACGUAAUGCGAAUUGCAGAAUUUCCGUGAGUCAUCGAAUCUUUGAACGCACAUUGCGCCCACUGGUAUUCCGGUGGGCAUGCCUGUUCGAGCGUCAUUAUCCUCCCUCAAACCCCGGGUUUGGUGUUGGACCCAAGUUGUGUGAACAACUGGUCUCAAAGACAAUGACGGCGUCCGUGGGACCCUCGGUGCAACGAGCUUUUAGGAGCACGCAUCGAGUUGCAAGGACCUUCCGGGCCGGUCUCCUUUACCAUUUUACAAGGUUGACCUCGGAUCAGGUAGGAAUACCCGCUGAACUUAAGCAUAUCAAUAAGCGGAGGA